AGAGUUUGAUCCUGGCUCAGGAUGAACGCUAGCUACAGGCUUAACACAUGCAAGUCGAGGGGAAACGACAUCGAAAGCUUGCUUUUGAUGGGCGUCGACCGGCGCACGGGUGAGUAACGCGUAUCCAACCUGCCCACCACUUGGGGAUAACCUUGCGAAAGUAAGACUAAUACCCAAUGACGUCUCUAGAAGACAUCUGAAAGAGAUUAAAGAUUUAUCGGUGAUGGAUGGGGAUGCGUCUGAUUAGCUUGUUGGCGGGGUAACGGCCACCAAGGCGACGAUCAGGUAGGGGUUCUGAGAGGAAGGUCCCCCANAUUGGAACUGAGACACGGUCCCAAACUCCGUAACGGGAGGCA
rnacentral:rRNA from 1 species